rnacentral:rRNA from 1 species
AAUAGAUACCCAGGUAGUCCACGCCGUAAACGAUGAGUGCUAAGUGUUAGAGGGUUUCCGCCCUUUAGUGCUGUAGCAAACGCAUUAAGCACUCCGCCUGGGGAGUACGGUCGCAAGACUGAAACUCAAAGGAAUUGACGGGGGCCCGCACAAGCGGUGGAGCAUGUGGUUUAAUUCGAAGCAACGCGAAGAACCUUACCAGGUCUUGACAUCCCGUGACAACUCUAGAGAUAGGGCUUUCCCCUUCGGGGGACACGGUGACAGGUGGUGCAUGGUUGUCGUCAGCUCGUGUCGUGAGAUGUUGGGUUAAGUCCCGCAACGAGCGCAACCCUUGAUCUUAGUUGCCAGCAUUCAGUUGGGCACUCUAAGGUGACUGCCGGUGACAAACCGGAGGAAGGUGGGGAUGACGUCAAAUCAUCAUGCCCCUUAUGACCUGGGCUACACACGUGCUACAAUGGAUGGUACAAAGGGCAGCGAAACCGCGAGGUUAAGCCAAUCCCAUAAAACCAUUACUCAGUUCGGAUUGCAGGCUGCAACUCG